GCUCAGGAUGAACGCUAGCUACAGGCUUAACACAUGCAAGUCGAGGGGCAGCAUGGUCUUAGCUUGCUAAGGCCGAUGGCGACCGGCGCACGGGUGAGUAACACGUAUCCAACCUGCCGUCUACUCUUGGACAGCCUUCUGAAAGGAAGAUUAAUACAAGAUGGCAUCAUGAGUCCACAUGUUCACAUGAUUAAAGGUAUUCCGGUAGACGAUGGGGAUGCGUUCCAUUAGAUAGUAGGCGGGGUAACGGCCCACCUAGUCUUCGAUGGAUAGGGGUUCUGAGAGGAAGGUCCCCCACAUUGGAACUGAGACACGGUCCAAACUCCUAUGGGAGGCAGCAGUGAGGAAUAUUGGUCAAUGGGCGAGAGCCUGAACCAGCCAAGUAGCGUGAAGGAUGACUGCCCUAUGGGUUGUAAACUUCUUUUAUAAAGGAAUAAAGUCGGGUAUGGAUACCCGUUUGCAUGUACUUUAUGAAUAAGGAUCGGCUAACUCCGUGCCAGCAGCCGCGGUAAUACGGAGGAUCCGAGCGUUAUCCGGAUUUAUUGGGUUUAAAGGGAGCGUAGAUGGAUGUUUAAGUCAGUUGUGAAAGUUUGCGGCUCAACCGUAAAAUUGCAGUUGAUACUGGAUAUCUUGAGUGCAGUUGAGGCAGGCGGAAUUCGUGGUGUAGCGGUGAAAUGCUUAGAUAUCACGAAGAACUCCAAUUGCGAAGGCAGCCUGCUA
rnacentral:rRNA from 1 species